rnacentral:piRNA from 1 species
UAGAAACCAAAAUGGAAACGUGGAGCAGU